CCCUUAGAUGUUCUGGGCUGCACACGUGCUACACUGGCAGGUUCAGCGAGCUUCAUGCCCUGAUCUGAAAGGAAUGGGAAAUCUUUUCAAAACCUGCCGUGCUUGGGACAGAUGUUUGCAAUUAUUCAUCUUCAACGAGGAUUGCCUUGUAAGCGCACGUCAUCAGCGUGCAUUGAAUACGACCCUGUAUUCUGUACACACCGCCCGUCGCUCCUACCGAUUGAAGUUUUCGGUGAGUUGACAGGAGGAUUUUUUUGAAACUGGUUCGCCAGUGGAUUUUAGAUCCAAAUGCCAACGAAUCGAUGGCUUUAGAGGAAGGAGAAGUCGUAACA
rnacentral:rRNA from 1 species